AAUACAGGAACAAGUCAACGGUGAUCAUUUUUCAUGUCAUGUCAAUUGGAAACAGAUUCCCAAAGCUUUUGGAUUUCAUUACAAAACGCACCAUCAUUAAAACAUUUGAGGUAAUUUGGAGCGUUUUUUAGUUGUUGUUGGUUUUGAAUUAGCAUCGAUGACAGCACUGGCUUGUUUACUACUUGCGAUUUACGAUGCUUCAAAAAGGCAGGGGUUGUCGUAGUGUGACCCCGUUGACAGACAAGGCGAUACAUCAAUGCCAGUAAAAAAAAAAAA